UUUGGAGGUCUUGGUGGCCACUGUGACACGUGGAGUUAAUUAUGUAUAAUCGUUUCUGCUUCCGUCACCCAUCAGAAGCGAAGAAGAAGACGAGAUGCAGAGGGUCUUUGUUCGAUCCAAAACCCUAAUUUCGGUUUCUUCCAAUUGCAUCUUCUUCCCUCCAUCACUACCCUUUUACUUCCAAAAUCAACAAGCUUUCCACAGCAACAGCAAUGGGAACACCCCUUUCGGAUCACCAACUCGAGUUCAGAAGCUGAUAGCUUCGCAAUCAGACCCUCUUUUGGCCAAAGAAAUCUUCGAUGUGGCCUCUCGCCAACCCAACUUCCGCCAUACUUACUCAACCUAUCUCAUUCUCAUCCUCAAGUUGGGUCGCUCCAAACACUUCUCUCUCAUCGACCAUCUCCUCCGCUGCAUCAAAUCCGAUUCUCACCCCAUCACCCCCACCCUCUUCACUUACUUGAUCAGGGUCUACGCAGAAGCCGAUUUGCCCGACAAAGCCCUCAAAACCUUCUACAACAUUCUCCACUUCAAUUGCAAGCCUUUGCCCAAACACCUUAACCGCAUUCUCGAGAUCCUCGUUUCCCACCGUAAUUACAUUCGUCCCGCCUUCCUUCUCUUCAAGGAUGCUCACAGGUAUGGGGUGGAACCCAACACCAAGUCCUACAACAUUCUCAUGCGCGCGUUCUGUCUCAAUGGGGACAUUAGCAUUGCCUACUCACUGUUCAACAAAAUGUUCAAACGAGAUGUUGUGCCGGAUAUCGAGUCUUACCGGAUUUUGAUGCAGGCCUUGUGUCGGAAGAGUCAAGUGAAUGGUGCUGUUGAUCUUUUGGAGGAUAUGCUCAACAAAGGGUUUGUUCCUGAUUCUUUGACUUACACCACUUUGUUGAAUAGUUUGUGUAGGAAGAAGAAGCUCAGGGAGGCUUACAAGCUUCUCUGUAGGAUGAAGGUCAAAGGGUGCAAUCCUGAUAUUGUUCAUUAUAAUACUGUUAUACUAGGGUUCUGUAGAGAAGGGCGCGCUCACGAUGCUUGCAAGGUUAUUACUGACAUGCGGGCCAAUGGGUGCUUGCCUAAUCUCGUGUCCUAUCGUACUUUGGUGAGUGGCUUGUGUGACAUGGGAAUGCUUGAUGAGGCUAGUAAGUAUGUCGAGGAUAUGUUCUGUAAAGGUUUUUCUCCUCAUUUCUCUGUUGUUCACGCCUUGGUGAAGGGGUUUUGUAAUGUUGGUAGGGUUGAGGAUGCUUGUGGAGUUCUUACUAAGUCUCUUGAACAUGGGGAAGCUCCGCAUGUGGAUACUUGGAUGAUCUUAAUUCCUGUAAUAUGUGAAGUGGAUGAUGGUGGGAAAAUCAAUGGUACUUUGGAGGAAGUUCUUAAGAUUGAAAUAAAAGGGCAUACUAGAAUUGUCGAUGCUGGCAUUGGUUUGGAGAACUACUUGAUUAGGAAGAUACGAGCCAACUCCACCAGAGUAUUCUAAAACUUAUGUAGGACUUACAACUUGCAAUCAAUGCUCUUUUGUCAUUCAUAUUGAAUCUUUGUGGUAUGUUUGUUACUCCGAAGAAUCUGGCUCGCUUUUCUCAGAUAACCAAGGUGUUUCCGGCACCAGCUGAGGAGAAAACAUAAAAUCUUGUCAGACUGAGUUGGCAUAUUGCAGCAAUGCUUUCAAGCGAGCUUUGACCGCUAGCAGAGAAAAACUUGUGUCAACCAUAACACCUCGAAUAAGACCAGUGUUAGACCGCGAUGAAACAAGUAGCUAUGAGCUUUUAGAGGCUGAGAAUGCAGAUAAUGAGGUGAAUGACCCAUGGGUUCAGAGACUUCUCCAUACUGUUGAGACAAAUGUGGCAUGGCUGCAACCACUAAUGACUGCCAACACUUUGUUCAUGAGUAUUAACCUCAUUGUGUAAAAGGCUAAAAGUCAUUAUGAUGCAGAAAAGAUUUAGCUCGGCAGUCUUCUGUAUAACCCAGAUGCUAGAGCUUUGGAAAGUCAUUUCAGUGUCAUGCCUCAGAACUGUUAAGGGACAAGUUCGCACGCCUUACUCAAAUGGCAACGAUUCUAAAUUUAGAAAAGAUUUGAGAUUCUAGAUUUCUUGGGUGAGAACCCUUGACCUAUAUGACCUGGAGAUUAACUCCAGGAGAGGUUAGGGGUGUGUUGGGUCUGCGGGUUGGUUCUAAACUAGAAGCAGUAGCUGCUGUGAAGUUGUAAUAUCAGUUAAUAUGGUCUCUUCACAUUUUUUUUUCUUUAAAUUUACAUCCGAUAAGUAUUACACUUUCAUUCUAACUAUUGCUGUUUGGUAAGUUAACUCACAAUUUGUUGUGUGAGUUGCAUUGUUAGCUUCAAAUAAAGAGUAAGCAAGAGCAUUCAAGUUUGC